rnacentral:rRNA from 1 species
UACGUAGGGUGCAAGCGUUGUCCGGAAUUAUUGGGCGUAAAGAGCUCGUAGGCGGUCUGUCGCGUCUGCUGUGAAAACUCAGGGCUUAACCCUGAGCUUGCAGUGGGUACGGGCAGACUAGAGUGCGGUAGGGGAGACUGGAAUUCCUGGUGUAGCGGUGAAAUGCGCAGAUAUCAGGAGGAACACCGGUGGCGAAGGCGGGUCUCUGGGCAAUAACUGACGCUGGAGGUGCGAAAGCCGUGGGGGAGCAAACAGG